AGACCAUCGAUGCUAUGAAAAACUGCAUCAACUAAUGGGCAAAAUAACCAGCUAACAGCAUAAUGACAGGAUCCAAUUCACACAUAACAGUAUUAACCUUAAAUGUAAAUGGGCUAAAUGCCCCAAUUAAAAGACACAGACUGGCAAAUUGGAUAGAGUCAAGACCCAUCAGUGUGCUGCAUUCAGAAGACCCAUCUCAGGUGCAAAGACAC
rnacentral:lncRNA from 1 species